rnacentral:misc_RNA from 1 species
AACGCAUCUUGCGCUCUUUGGUAUUCCAAAGAGCAUGCCUGUUUGAGUGUCAUUAAAUUCUCAACUGUACCAAUCCUGUUGGUGUAGCUUGGAUUUGGGGGACCAUUUGCAGGCCUUUCAAUUGAAUGAAGCUGGCCAGCUCCUCUGAAAUUGAUUAGUGGUACCUUUGUGGAACCAAAGGCAUGAUAAAUAUCUAUGCCUUAGAUGUCCACAGCAAUAGGUUAUGCUGCUUCUAAUUAACUGAUUAAUGACAAAAUUGACCUCAAAUCAGGUAGGACUACCCGCUGAACUUAA